UCACCAGAGGGCCUGUAGAGCGCAGCGCCCCGGCGGCCUCUGUCUUGGUUCCCUUUGCUCAAAGGUUGGGGUUACGGCCGCAGUUGUUGCGGGUACAGGGCAGGGGCCAAGCAGCUGUAGACUCCGGGACGUCAGAUAGGUGCGGAGAGGAACUAAGGCCCCCACUCAGGGGGCCUUAAUUUAACUUAACUACAUGCUGAGACCCCAAACUGGUCCGAACCAGAAGGUUGAUGAUUGAGAUUCCUGGAAUACCACCCUGUUACCUCACCACCAACCAAUCAGAAGAAAGUCAUGCACCCUGCAGCCCUCACCCCAAAUGUUGCCUUUAAAAAAAUCUUCCUUUGGGGCUUCCCUGGUGGCGCAGUGGUUGAGAAUCUGCCUGCCAAUGCAGGCGACACGGGUUCGAGCCCUGGUCUGGGAAGAUCCCACAUGCCGCGGAGCAACUAGGCCCGUGAGCCACAAUUACUGAGCCUGCGCGUCUGGAGCCUGUGCUCCGCAGCAAGAGAGGCCGCGAUAGCGAGAGGCCGCGAUAGCGAGAGGCCCGCGCACUGCGAUGAAGAGUGGCCCCCGCUUGCCACAACUAGAGAAAGCCCUCGCACAGAAACGAAGACCCAACACAGCCAUAAAUAAAUAAAUAAAAAUUUAAAAAAAAAAAAAAAUCUUCCUUUAAAAAAGCUGUUGGAGAGUUUGGGUCUUUUGAGCACAAGCUGCCCAUUCUCCUUGCUUGGCCCUGCAAUAAAACUUUCUCUGAUCCAAACUUCAA